rnacentral:rRNA from 1 species
UACGUAGGGGGCUAGCGUUGUCCGGAUUUAUUGGGCGUAAAGAGCGUGUAGGCGGCCAGGUAGGUCUGCUGUGAAAACUCGAGGCUCAACCUCGAGACGUCGGCGGAAACCAUCUGGCUAGAGACCGGAAGAGGUAAGUGGAACUGCGAGUGUAGAGGUGAAAUUCGUAGAUAUUCGCAAGAACACCGGUGGCGAAGGCGGUUCUCUGGGCCUUACCUGACGCUGAGGAGCGAAAGCGUGGGGAGCGAACAGG